rnacentral:rRNA from 1 species
ACGGGAGGCAGCAGUCGGGAAUAUUGCGCAAUGGAGGAAACUCUGACGCAGUGACGCCGCGUAUAGGAAGAAGGUUUUCGGAUUGUAAACUAUUGUCGUUAGGGAAUAUAAAAUACUGUCCCUAAGGAGGAAGCCCCGUCUAACUAUGUUCCAGCAGCCGCGGUAAUACAUAGGGGGCAAGCGUUAUCCGGAAUUAUUGGGUGUAAAGGGUGCGUAGACGGAGAAGCAAGUUAGUUGUGAAAUCCCUCGGCUUAACUGAGGAACUGCAACUAAAACUACUUACCUUGAGUGUCGGAGGGGAAAGUGGAAUUCCUAGUGUAGCGGUGAAAUGCGUAGAUAUUAGGAGGAACACCGGUGGCGAAGGCGACUUUCUGGACGAUAACUGACGUUGAGGCACGAAAGUGUGGGGAGCAAACAGGAUUAGAUACCCUGGUA